rnacentral:misc_RNA from 1 species
GAUGAAGAACGUAGCGAAAUGCGAUACGUAAUGUGAAUUGCAAAUUCAGUGAAUCAUCGAGUCUUUGAACGCACAUUGCGCCCCCUGGUAUUCCGGGGGGCAUGCCUGUCCGAGCGUCAUUGCUGCCCUCAAGCACGGCUUGUGUGUUGGGCCCCGUCCUCCGAUCCCGGGGGACGGGCCCGAAAGGCAGCGGCGGCACCGCGUCCGGUCCUCGAGCGUAUGGGGCUUUGUCACCCGCUCUGUAGNCNCGGCCGGCGCUUGCCGAUCAACCCAAAUUUUUAUCCAGGUUGACCUCGGAUCAGGUAGGGAUACCCGCUGAACUUAAGCAUAUCAAUAAGCGGAGGA